CCUACGGGUGGCAGCAGUGGGGAAUAUUGCACAAUGGGGGAAACCCUGAUGCAGCGACGCCGCGUGAGCGAUGAAGUAUUUCGGUAUGUAAAGCUCUAUCAGCAGGGGAGAAGAUGACGGUACGUGACUAAGAAUCCACGUCUAACUACGUGCCAGCAGCCGCGGUAAUACGUAGGGUGCAAGCGUUAUCCGGAUUUACUGGGUGUAAAGGGAGCGUAGACGGCGAUGCAAGCCAGAUGUGAAAGCCCGGGGCUCAACCCCGGGACUGCAUUUGGAACUGUGUGGCUGGAGUGUCGGAGAGGCAGGCGGAAUGCCUGGUGUAGCGGUGAAAUGCGUAGAUAUUAGGAGGAACACCAGUGGCGAAGGCGGCCUGCUGGACGAUGACUGACGUUGAGGCUCGAAAGCGUGGGGAGCAAACAGGAUUAGAUACCCCAGUAGUC
rnacentral:rRNA from 1 species